UACGGGGGGAGCAAGCGUUGUUCGGAUUUACUGGGCGUAAAGGGCGCGUAGGCGGCCACCGCAAGUCGACUGUGAAAUCUCCGGGCUUAACCCGGAAAGGUCAGCCGAUACUGCGGGGCUAGAGUGCAGAAGGGGCAACUGGAAUCUCGGUGUAGCGGUGAAAUGCGUAGAUAUCGAGAGGAACACCAGUGGCGAAGGCGAGUCUCUGGACGACUCCUGACACUGAGGCACGAAAGCUAGGGGAGCAAACAGG
rnacentral:rRNA from 1 species